AUCUGAAAGGAUGGAGUGCCUUCGGGAGCGUGGAGACAGGUGGUGCAUGGUUGUCGUCAGCUCGUGUCGUGAGAUGUUGGGUUAAGUCCGCAACGAGCGCAACCCUCGACCUUAGUUGCCAGCAUUCAGUUGGGCACUCUAAGGUGACUGCCGGCUAAAAGUCGGAGGAAGGUGGGGAUGACGUCAAAUCAUCAUGCCCCUUAUGACCUGGGCUACACACGUGCUACAAUGGGCGGUACAAAGGGUCGCGAACCCGCGAGGGGGAGCCAAUCCCAAAAAGCCGCUCUCAGUUCGGAUUGCAGGCUGCAACUCGCCUGCAUGAAGCCGGAAUCGCUAGUAAUCGCGGAUCAGCAUGCCGCGGUGAAUACGUUCCCGGGCCUU
rnacentral:rRNA from 1 species